rnacentral:snRNA from 1 species
GUGCUCACUUUGGCAGCACAUAUACUGAAACUGGAAUGAUGCAUAGAAGAUUAAUAUGGUCCUUACACAAGAAUGACAUAUUUUUACUGUUCCAGUCACACUUGCUC